rnacentral:misc_RNA from 1 species
UAAAUGCAUGUGUGUGUCUUUUAGAGUGUAUAAGUACAAGUGCUUGCAUGUAAGUAUUUCAAAAAUAUGAACCGCAGAGUAAAACAAGUCACUUCCCACUCUCUAGAGUACCACACACACACACACACGCAUAUAGAUAUCUCUCACUGACAUGCACACAUACUCACAUACAUACACACCCAUCUAAACUUCUUAUUCUAUGACUCUUUCACCCCUGUUGGCCUUUUCUCACCUAUACCCUGUCUGAAAACAUCUUAUGAGGGUCUUUAGCAACAAAACCAGACUCAGACAGCAGACACACAUUUACAACGAUUACUAAAGAAAGCCAUUCAACUCCUCAGUAUUUCCAUGUGGUAUGACAGAAGUGAUGAAUCUCAGGAUUGGGACUCAAAGAACAGAUUCUAGAAAAAUAACAAUACAUAUACCAUCAGAAUCUUCAGGAAAAUGAACUCGUCAAGGUCUUCAAUUUGUAGUUUGACCAGUAAAAAGCUAAAUGUUGUCACACUUUAUAAUCUCUCUCCUUAUGACAAAAAAGGUAGAGACCGGGCGCAAGAAGCUGCCAGGAUACUUUUACUAAAUGCUCUCAAAAUGGAACCAAAUGUUCAUGAAAUAUUCUUUGCAGACACAAAACCAAAUCCUUUAUAUCAAGAAAUUGAUCAGACAAUUUUCUCACUAUCAAAUUUGUCCACGGCCAUCACUGCUGAUGUAAUCAGCAGACAUAAAGAUGAGUUUCGUUUCCACACAACCAUUCGACGGACUGAAGUGAAUAAGAGUUUAAAUGAAAUCUAUUCGGGGUUGGCUUGGAAAAAACUUGGUUUUUGCCUCUAUACACUUGUCUACCCACAAGUUGUAAAAGAAUCUUCCAGAAUAUGUUUCAAAGACUUUGUGGACAAUGGUGGGACUAAAUGGGCUGAGAAUUUGCUACAGUGGCUGAAGCAACCUGAGUGGACCCGACUUAUAAUGAAACGAAUCAUCACUGGACAGUGCAGUGAAGAACAAUACAACAUAGAGAUGAACAAUCUGUUUGUUAAAUUCCAUCUUCUCGACCCUGCCUAUGUGAUACAAACAUAUUACUUUCUGAAUCAACAAAAAGCUUUACCUCAGGUCCAUCUUGAGCUCGUGACCCGUAACUACUUGGGAGGGGCUUUUGACUGGACCCUGUUCAAAGAAGAGAUCAGCCGAGCAAUCCGUGUCCCUUCUCCAUUUGACAUGUCAUCUCGGCUCAGCCUCGAUUUAAAUGAUGUCUUUUAUGGUGUUAAAGUUGAUGAGUUUAUUGUGACAGAAUGCCGGAAUAUUGGUGUGUGGAAUGGGAAAAGGCCCCAUAACCGUCAAAUGCUGCGUUUGAAGGACCGAUGUGUACUUAUGUAAGAUAAAAACAUUAAAUAACCAUUUGUAACAGAGUGGUUUCAAUAUUGGACAGCUGGCACAAGUUGUGACCAUGAACAGAUCAACA